rnacentral:sRNA from 1 species
GCAUAAUGUUCUAAGGCUAAAGAUGCGACGUCCUGUCGCAACGCCUUCAUGACCUACGUUCUGUGUG